AUUUUGUGUAAAAUGUCGGCGAGCGGCGGACGGCUGAGUAACGCGUGGGAACGUACCCCAAAGUGAGGGAUAACGCAUCGAAAGGUGUGCUAAUACCGCAUAUGGUCUUCGGAUUAAAGCCUUCGGGCGCUUUGGGAACGGCCUGCGUAAGAUUAGAUAGUUGGUGGGGUAAUGGCCUACCAAGUCGACGAUCUUUAACUGGUUUGAGAGGAUGAUCAGUCAGACUGGAACUGAGACACGGUCCAGACUCC
rnacentral:rRNA from 1 species